rnacentral:misc_RNA from 1 species
GGGGAUGACUUCUUUGCUUCGGCCUUCGGGAGAGAGGGGGGUUCGAUGGGGAGUUCCAUGGGGGUAGCGCGGCCGCAGAAGGCGCCAUUGAUUGAGAACCGAUUACCGUGUAGCUUGGAGGAUCUGUAUAAGGGGACUACCAAGAAGAUGAAAAUUUCGAGGGAGAUUGCUGAUGCUAGUGGGAAAACUAUGCCUGUGGAGGAAAUCCUGACGAUCGACAUAAAGCCCGGUUGGAAGAAGGGAACCAAGAUUACCUUUCCCGAGAAGGGCAAUGAAUCUCCAAAUGUCAUCCCUGCAGAUAUAGUUUUUAUUGUUGAUGAGAAGCCGCAUAGCGUCU